GUUCACAGUCUAGUAUUUUCUAAAUAACUUUAAAGUACAUAUAUGCUCAUAUAUAUAAACAAGCCAACUCUUGUAGAGAGCAAGCAACAUAUCAAGUGACAGCAAGUUUUGUCAUGAAGAAUUUUGACUGUUCCCAUGAGAAAGCUGGCUAUAUGGACUCCUAUUCUUCAUUAUAAGCUCCAACAAUCUCCUCUGCAAUAUAUUUAAUCAUUUUCAACCAUAUGCCAGAAAUUCAGGAGUUGUGAGCCACAUUCCUUUCAUGCAAGCUUGAAUACAGCCACUGAGGAAUAAACUUUGGGCAUCAGAAGGAAGAAAACAAAAGUGACAGUGCACAAAGCUAAAUAUUGCUGCUUGGAUAAGAAGCAUUUGCUCUGGAUUGUGUUUGGAGUUUUCAGGGACUGGGAGAUACUCCCGGGAGUCUUGCACCCUGCACAACAGCCUAUUCAGUUAGCUGACCUGGAGUAUGCACUUCCCUAACCUUUGCUCAAUGAACCAAAGACUACUGGCCUGAGGAUGACACUAACAACAUGUGCCUAGCAAUGCAAUUGGAGGUGACGGUAGAAAGCAUGCCAAAUUCUCUGCUUUGACAUUUCAAUACAUCUCAGUGUGACAUCGGCCCACAGCUCUGCUGUCCCAACGCCUCAACACGCAGCUGAUCUCACCGGUGCACUCCCCUCACCUUGUGAACACAGCAUUCUGCCAGCUGAGCCUUCCUUUCAUUUGGACAGAGACGUGCUGGGACAGCAACCAAUUUAAAAUGACUCUUCCUGACUGCAACAGAUGAUGAAAGAUUAAGAGGGAAGCAGGAUGUGCCUGAAAACACCUUGAAAAAUGACACCAGAGCCACCACCAAUGUACACAUUUACUGUGAAAUGACAGCUUGACUCACCCACCUUGCAGCUCUUCUAUGGUUUAAGAAACAUGGAAAGAAAGAGUAAAAUGAGUUCUUCAGCUAUGCAGAACGAAUAUGAAGAGAGACAGUUCCCAUACCUUAUCAUCUGGUUUGAAUCACAGAACCGUAGAAUCAUUAAGGUUGAAAAAGACCACUAGUCCAACUGUUGAUCCCUCCCCACUGUGCCCACAUGUUCCAGAUAGAAUUCUAGAAUUAUUAAGGUCAGAAGAGAUCGCUAAGAUGACCCAGUCCAACCUCAACCCAUCCCCACCAUGCCCACUAACCAUGUCCCCCCAGUGCCACAUCUCCA
rnacentral:lncRNA from 1 species